AGUGAACGCUGGCGGCAGGCCUAACACAUGCAAGUCGAGCGGCAGCGGGUCCUUCGGGAUGCCGGCGAGCGGCGGACGGGUGAGGAAUGCAUCGGAAUCUGCCCUGUCGUGGGGGAUAACCUAGGGAAACUUAGGCUAAUACCGCAUACGACCCACGGGUGAAAGCGGGGGAUCGCAAGACCUCGCGCGAUAGGAUGAGCCGAUGUCCGAUUAGCUAGUUGGCGGGGUAAAGGCCCACCAAGGCGACGAUCGGUAGCAGGUCUGAGAGGAUGAUCAGCCACACUGGGACUGAGACACGGCCCAGACUCCUACGGGAGGCAGCAGUGGGGAAUAUUGGACAAUGGGCGCAAGCCUGAUCCAGCCAUGCCGCGUGGGUGAAGAAGGCCUUCGGGUUGUAAAGCCCUUUUGUCCGGGAAGAAAUCGUCUGGGCUAAUACCCCGGGCGGAUGACGGUACCGGAAGAAUAAGCACCGGCUAACUUCGUG
rnacentral:rRNA from 1 species